GCCAGGCAUGGUGGUGCGUGCCUGUAGUCCCAGCUACUCAGGAGGCUGAGGCAGGAUAAUUGCUUGAACCCAGGAGGCGGAGGUUGCAGUGAGCCGAGAUUGUGCCACUGCACUCCAGCCUGGGUGACAGAGCGAGACUCUGUCUCCA
rnacentral:SRP_RNA from 1 species